ACUGCCGUGAAUACGUUCCCGGGCCUUGUACACACCGCCCGUCACACCAUGAGAGUUGGGAAUACCCGAAGCCUGUGAGCUAACUAUACGAGGCAGCAGUCGAAGGUAGAAUCAAUGAUUGGGGUGAAGUCGUAACAAGGUACC
rnacentral:rRNA from 1 species